GUGAAAAUAUUAGUUUGGUGCAAAAGUCAUUGUGGUUCUUGCCAUUAGAAGUAAUGCCAAAGACCGCAAUGACUUUUGCACCAAGCUAAUAGCUGCGC
rnacentral:pre_miRNA from 1 species